rnacentral:rRNA from 1 species
AGUAAUGCGUAGGUGACGUGCCCUGGGGUCGGGGAUAGCUUAGGGAAACUUAAGGUAAUACCCGAUAAUCCCGGUAGGUUUGAAGACCAUCCGGGCAAAGGUGUGAUUCCACCUCAGGAGCGGCUUGCGUGGUAUUAGCUAGUUGGUGAGGUAACGGCUCACCAAGGCUUCGAUGCCUAGGGGAUGUUAGCGCAUGAUCCCCACCACUGGGACUGAGAUACUGCCCAGACACCUACGGGUGGCUGCAGUCGAGAAUCUUCGGCAAUGGGGGAAACCCUGACCGAGCGACGCCGCGUGUGGGAUGAAGGCCCUUGGGUUGUAAACCACUGUCAGAGGGGAUGAAAUGCUAGAAAGCUAUCUUUCUAGUUUGACAUAGCCUCAGAGGAAGCACGGGCUAAGUUCGUGCCAGCAGCCGCGGUAAGACGAACUGUGCAAACGUUAUUCGGAAUCACUGGGCUUGAAGAGUGCGUAGGCGGUUUCGUAAGUAGGGUGUGAAAGCCCCCGGCUUAACCGGGGAAUUGCGUCCUAAACUGCGAGGCUGGAGUGAGGUA